UACGUAUGGUGCAAGCGUUAUCCGGAUUUACUGGGUGUAAAGGGAGCGUAGACGGAGCAGCAAGUCUGGAGUGAAAACCCGGGGCUCAACCCCGGGACUGCUUUGGAAACUGUUGUUCUAGAGUGCUGGAGAGGUAAGUGGAAUUCCUAGUGUAGCGGUGAAAUGCGUAGAUAUUAGGAGGAACACCAGUGGCGAAGGCGGCUUACUGGACAGUAACUGACGUUGAGGCUCGAAAGCGUGGGGAGCAAACAGG
rnacentral:rRNA from 1 species